UCUGGGUGUUUUUGUCAUUUAUUACAGCAGCUCUGCCAGCAAACCUAGAGAAGCAUCUUCAUCAGGAAAACAGACAAGAGAACUUCAAAAGAAGGCGGGGUCACAUUUAGAUGAGAUUCCACUAGUGCUGCCACAAAACUACAAGAAAAAGAAAAAACUAAAUUAAAAACAGAAGCAAUCCACAAGACACAUCUUCAGCAGGGGACCAAACCAAAGAGCAUCAUAAGAGGGCGGGGUUACAUUUGGAUGAGGAAAGCACAUCAUUGCGACUGGGUGUUCAUCAAGGUCCUGAAGAGGAAGAACUGGGCCAGCCCAUGGUGGGAAGGACCAUACCGAGUGCUUCUAACCACACCCACAGCUAUCUGAACCCCCCAGCUGGAUACAUCUCAGUCACUGGACGUUGCAGUGUGCACCAGAGGCCUAAAGGAGGUUGUUGUGGUGAAGUCUGACUGCAGAGGGGUUCCGCCUUUUAGUGGCGGUUCGUCUCAAAAGUCAGUGAAGAAACCAACAAAACCCAGCAUCCAUUAGAACUUGGGUCCUCGAAGUGAUUCUGCAACCUAGCAGCAUGGAAGGCCCACUGCUGGGAGACUGCAGCAGGUGGGUGCGGAGCUGCGCUGUGACUGUUGCAUGUCUCCACGUCCCCCUAACUGUCCCAGCGAUGGAAAAACCAGGAGAAGGCGGUACCAACCUAGCUGCCAGUCAUUGGACCUUCAUCAGACAAAGUCACCUCAAGGAUACCACCCAAGAUCACUCCAACAGUACUAACCUCUGGUGGCAACAGAAAUGCACAAAAGGUGUUGGUUCAAGCAAGGAGGAUGCAGACGGACAUGUUGCCAUGGUGACCCCUAAAGGAAUCAGCCUCAAGACAAAGAAGAGUUUAUGUCAUCAACAGAGGGACCCCAGAGGCUGGAGGGAUUCCUUCUGCAGCUCUUUCAACCCCUCAGCCAUCGGUGGAAGGGCCAUCUCUCGUUGAAUUGCCUUUCCCGAGGGUUCUCCCUAAAUUGGCCUCACAGGGAGUUUUACCUCGUCUUCAUUGAGAGCUUGGGUUGGGGGGCGGAGCGUGCACAACCACACUGGGGUUCUAAUUACAAUUGGGCAGCAGAAGUAAAGAGUACCCAUCACAUGUAUUAAUAGAUCACUCCUUAAAUUUGAAAAUGAACUUUUUAUAUAUUUUACAAAAUUAACAUUAUAAAACAGUGGCUAAUUCUAGUAUUCUAAUGCUAAUUUCUGCACAUAUUGCUAAUUUGUGGGAGAAAUUGCUCAUUUGUAAUCACAAAAUUCCAAUUGGUGCACAAAAAAUGCUAAUUAACAGGCACAAAAUCCUACCUUUGAGCAGAAAAUACUAAUUUGUGUACACAAAAUUUUAAUUUGUCCGAAAAAAAUAUUAAAUUGUGUUUACAAAUGCUCAUUUAUGGGGAGAAAAUCUAAUUUAAGAUCAGAAAAUACUAAUUUGGGUGCACAAAAUCUUAUUUAUAUGCAAACCAAAUACUAAUUUGUGUACACAGAAUUCUAAUUUGUCCAAACAAAAUACUAAAUUGUGUUUACAAAAUGCUCAUUUAUGGUGACAAAAUAUAAUUUAUGAGCAUGAAAUACUAAUUUAUGUUAUUAAAAACACUAACUUGAUGCCACAAACUUUUAAUUUAAGGAAACCUAAAGUGUCUCUGAUUAAAACUAAAUGAUGAGAACCAAACCAAAUUGCUGUAAAAUUGUACAUCUUUGCUUCUGUUUUUUAACUGUAAAAUCAUCAGGAAUUUCUGUAGUAAAUAAAAAUGGGACUUUUUACUUCUUA